GAGAAUGUGGCAUAAUGGUUUGAGUGGUGGACUACAAUUCUGCAGACCAGGGUUCGAUUCCCAGCUCAGCCA